AGUGGGGAAUAUUGCUCAAUGGGCGAAAGCCUGAAGCAGCGACGCCGCGUGAACGAUGAAGUCCUUCGGGAUGUAAAGUUCUUUCGACGGGGACAAUAAUGAUGGUACCUGGAGAAGAAGGCCCGGCUAACUAUGUGCCAGCAGCCGCGGUAAUACAUAGGGGCCAAGCGUUAUCCGGAUUUACUGGGCGUAAAGCGCGUGUAGGUGGUUAGAUAAGUCAGGUGUUAAAACUAGAAGCUCAACUUCUAGUCGCCCCUGAAACUAUUUAGCUUCGAGUUUGGGAGAGGAUAGUGGAACUCACAGUGUAGCGGUGAAAUGCGUAGAUAUUGUGAGGAACACCAGUGGCGAAGGCGACUAUCUGGACCAAUACUGACACUGAGACGCGAAAGCAUGGGGAGCAAACAGGAUUAGAUACCCUGGUAGUCCAUGCCGUAAACGAUGUUCAUUAGGUGUAGGGGGUAUCGACCCCUCCUGUGCCGUAGCUAACGCGUUAAAUGAACCGCCUGGGAACUACGACCGCAAGGUUAAAACUCAAAGAAAUUGACGGGGGCCCGCACAAGCAGUGGAUCAUGUGGUUUAAUUCGACGAUACGCGAAAAACCUUACCAGCCCUUGACAUCUGCCCGAUCGGUAUAGAGGUAUACCGUGACUCGCAAGAGAAGGCAAGACAGGUGGUGCAUGGCUGUCGUCAGCUCGUGUUGUGAAAUGUUGGGUUAAGUCCCGCAACGAGCGCAACCCCUAUCUUAUGUUACCAGCACGUUAUGGUGGGUACUCAUUAGAAACUGCCUGUGGAAAACAGGAGGAAGGCGGGGAUGACGUCAAGUCCUCAUGCCCCUUAUGGACUGGGCUACACACAUGAUACAAUGGUUAGGACAAAGGGUUGCCAAACCGCAAGGUGGAGCCAAUCCCAUAAAACUAAUCUCAAUUCGGAUUGCAGGCUGCAAUUCGCCUGCAUGAAGUUGGAAUUGCUAGUAAACGCAGAUCAGCACGCUGCGUUGAAUACGUUCCCGGGCCUUGUACACACCGCCCGUCACACCAUGAAAGCUAGAAAUACCCAAAGUAUCGCGUAAGCGAUCCUAAGGUAGCGCUAGUGAUUAGGGUG
rnacentral:rRNA from 1 species